rnacentral:rRNA from 1 species
CCAAUAGCGUAUAUUAAAGUUGUUGCAGUUAAAAAGCUCGUAGUUGAAUUUCAGGCCUGGCUGGACGGUCCGCCCUUCGGGUGAGUACUGUCUGUGGUCGGGUCCUACCUUCUGGCGAAGCGUCAUGGCCUUAACCGGCCGUGGCGGGGAACCAGGACUUUUACUGUGAAAAAAUUAGAGUGUUUAAAGCAGGCUUACGCUUGAAUACAUUAGCAUGGAAUAAUGAAAUAGGACGUUUGAUUCUAUUUUGUUGGUUUCUAGGAUCGACGUAAUGAUUAAUAGGGAUAGUUGGGGGCAUUAGUAUUCAAUUGUCAGAGGUGAAAUUCUUGGAUUUAUUGAAGACUAACUACUGCGAAAGCAUUUGCCAAGGAUGUUUUCAUUAAUCAAGAACGAAAGUUAGGGGAUCGAAGACGAUCAGAUACCGUCGUAGUCUUAACCAUAAACUAUGCCGACUAGGGAUCGGAUGAUGUUAAUUUUAUAAUGACUCAUUCGGCGCCUUACG